rnacentral:rRNA from 1 species
UACAGAGGGGGCAAGCGUUAUUCGGAAUUAUUGGGCGUAAAGGGCGCGUAGGCGGCCAGCACAAGUCAGUUGUGAAAUCUCCGGGCUUAACUCGGAAAGGUCAACUGAUACUGUGCGGCUAGAGUGCAGAAGGGGCAACUGGAAUUCUCGGUGUAGCGGUGAAAUGCGUAGAUAUCGGGAGGAACACCUGCGGCGAAGGCGGGUUGCUGGGCUGACACUGACGCUGAUGCGCGAAAGCCAGGGAGCGAACGGG